rnacentral:sRNA from 1 species
AAAGGAGAUAUUUCUGCUGAAAUUUCAUUUGUGGCUUAUCGGAUUUACAUUUACGGAUGACAAGAUUUUAUAAAUUUGGAUAUAUGUUGGAAAUACAUGUUUUAACAUUUUGUCAUUUUUAUUUGUUUUAUGCACUGUUGGAUAUUUGAAUAUCCAACUGACGGGCGGUUGGAUAUUAAAAAUAUCCAACUGCCCAUCAGUUGGAUAUGUAUAUAUCCAAUCACUGUUGAUUGAAUAGUGAAAAUAAACGUUGACAAAAUAC